rnacentral:ncRNA from 1 species
CGAUGGGAUUUGUUGUCCGAUGGGCUCCUCAGUCGGUAACGAUUGAUGGAUAUCCUGCCAAAUUCGGUGGAGCCCUUGAGUUAAAUCCAAGGUAAUACCGAGCUAAGUCAGUCAUGUUGUGACUGAAAAGUGUAGAGACUAAAGGGUAGGCAUCCGUAAGAAUUUUUCGGAUGAAGAUAUAGUCCAGACUACAAAUCCGCCAAAAUUUGUGG